AGGAGAUUGCAUUGGGUGCCACCGUCUACCCCAUUUCUAGCUAUGGCGGACGCCAAUAUGAAAUCACCUUGUCUGUCUGGAAGGAUCCAAAAUCGGGGAAUUGGUGGAUGCAGUAUGGGAAUCAAUCUCCAUUGGGCUACUGGCCUUCUUCCUUGUUCCGUUAUCUGUCGGACGGUGCCUCAGAGAUACAAUGGGGAGGGGAGGUUGUGAACUUAAAUUCAAAUGGUCAGCAAACCUCCACAGAGAUGGGUAGCAGCCAUUUCCCAGUAGAAAGUCUUGGCAAGGCGAGCUACUCCUAGAACAUUCAAAUAGUUGAUAAGUCCAACCAUCUUCAAGCUCCUCACGGGAUUGCCCCUUCCACUACGCAAUCCAGCUGCUUUAAUGUGCACAUUGACAACAAUGGUAGAAAUCCCAGUUGUCCAUUGAAAAAUACAAUCAUGAAUAUAUAAUUGCGAACAAUGAAUGCACAACGAGAAUAAACAAUCAAUGGUUACUCUGUCA